AGGCGUGGCAGAGCGGCCUAAUGCGGGCACCUGAUAAGUGUCUGAUGUCUAUAAAACAUCCGAGGGUUCAAAUCCCUCCGCCU
rnacentral:tRNA from 1 species